rnacentral:lncRNA from 1 species
GUGUCUAAACACUGCACUUGGAUAACAAAACACAUGUUCACUUUUUGCAGUGACCCUGGAAAGAAACAAGGGAUUCUUAUAAGUCACAAAGGAAAAUAAAUAACUUCACUCAUGGAGGGAAAGAGACAGCUCCAGAAAAGGGACUUUGGAAAAAGAUUGUCUCUGGACAGCAGUCUUGUGGAUGGUAAUAGUUACUGAAGAGCAUUUGGAUAUGAAGGAAACAGCUUUUGAUCAAAAUUUGAACAAACAAAAUUUUUUGAAAAAGUGAAAGAGAGAGGGAUUUCAAAUUUGACCCAAUGGAGAAUGAUCAAAAGACUUUUCUAGGUAUGGUUGUUCCAUUGGGUAGAACAUUUUGAGCAAUAGAAGUGAUACAUGGGGCACAGUGUUAACAGUGUGGGAUGGUGAAUGCAGAGUAUCAGGGAAGACGUUAUGCAGUCUGUCCCACAAGAAUGACUAAAACCACUUGGCAAUAACAAGG